rnacentral:rRNA from 1 species
GACGAACGCUGGCGGCGUGCUUAACACAUGCAAGUCGAACGAUGAUCAGGAGCUUGCUCCUGUGAUUAGUGACGAACGGGUGAGUAACACGUGAGUAACCUGCCCCUGACUCUGGGAUAAGCGUUGGAAACGACGUCUAAUACUGGAUACGACUGCCGGCCGCAUGGUCUGGUGGUGGAAAGAUUUUUUGGUUGGGGAUGGACUCGCGGCCUAUCAGCUUGUUGGUGAGGUAAUGGCUCACCAAGGCGACGACGGGUAGCCGGCCUGAGAGGGUGACCGGCCACACUGGGACUGAGACACGGCCCAGACUCCUACGGGAGGCAGCAGUGGGGAAUAUUGCACAAUGGGCGAAAGCCUGAUGCAGCAACGCCGCGUGAGGGAUGACGGCCUUCGGGUUGUAAACCUCUUUUAGUAGGGAAGAAGCGAAAGUGACGGUACCUGCAGAAAAAGCACCGGCUAACUACGUGCCAGCCGCCGCCGUAA